UAGCCGGCAGGUAUUAAUACAUGACAACCCCGAACGGUAGACUACUUUCGGGUAGUUGAGAGUGGCGCACGGGUGCGUAACGCGUAUGCAACCUACCUUGUACAGGGGGAUAGCCCGGAGAAAUUCGGAUUAAUACCCCAUAGCAUUAUCAGAUGGCAUCUGAAGAUAAUUAAAGAUUUAUCGGUACAAGAUGGGCAUGCGUGACAUUAGUUAGUUGGCAGGGUAAAGGCCUACCAAGACGAUGAUGUCUAGGGGUUCUGAGAGGAUGAUCCCCCACACUGGUACUGAGAUACGGACCAGACUCCUACGGGAGGCAGCAGUAGGGAAUAUUGGUCAAUGGGCGAGAGCCUGAACCAGCCAUGCCGCGUGCAGGAAGACGGCCUUCUGGGUUGUAAACUGCUUUUCUACGGGAAGAAAAUGCCCUUGCGAGGGAAAUUGCCGGUACCGUCAGGAAUAAGCACCGGUUAACUUCGUGCCAGCAUCCGCCGGUAAUACGGAGGGUGCAAGC
rnacentral:rRNA from 1 species